rnacentral:rRNA from 1 species
UACAGAGGUCUCGAGCGUUAGGCGGAAUCACUGGGCUUAAAGCGUGUGUAGGCGGAUUGCUAAGUACCUUGUGAAAUCCCACGGCUUAACCGUGGAACUGCUUGGUAUACUGGCUGUCUUGAGCCACUUAGGGGCAACCGGAACAAACGGUGGAGCGGCGAAAUGCGUAGAUAUCGUUUGGAACGCCAAUGGUGAAAACAGGUUGCUGGGAGUGUGCUGACGCUGAGACACGAAAGCCAGGGGAGCAAACGGG